GGCCGGAUGGUCUAAGGGUAUGAUUCUCGCUUUGGGUGCGAGAGGUCCCGGGUUAAAAUCCCGGUUGGCCCC
rnacentral:tRNA from 1 species